rnacentral:rRNA from 1 species
GAUGAACGCUGGCGGCGUGCCUAAUACAUGCAAGUCGAGCGAACAGACGAGGAGCUUGCUCCUUCGACGUUAGCGGCGGACGGGUGAGUAACACGUAGGUAACCUACCUAUAAGACUGGGAUAACUUCGGGAAACCGGAGCUAACACCGGAUAAUAUUUCGAACCGCAUGGUUCGAUAGUGAAAGAUGGCUUUGCUAUCACUUAUAGAUGGACCUGCGCCGUAUUAGCUAGUUGGUAAGGUAACGGCUUACCAAGGCAACGAUACGUAGCCGACCUGAGAGGGUGAUCGGCCACACUGGAACUGAGACACGGUCCAGACUCCUACGGGAGGCAGCAGUAGGGAAUCUUCCGCAAUGGGCGAAAGCCUGACGGAGCAACGCCGCGUGAGUGAUGAAGGUCUUCGGAUCGUAAAACUCUGUUAUUAGGGAAGAACAAACGUGUAAGUAACUGUGCACGUCUUGACGGUACCUAAUCAGAAAGCCACGGCUAACUACGUG